UACGUAGGGUGCAAGCGUUAAUCGGAAUUACUGGGCGUAAAGCGUGCGCAGGCGGUUUUGUAAGUCUGUUGUGAAAGCCCCGGGCUUAACCUGGGAAUGGCAUUGGAAACUGGCUGGCUGGAGUGUGGCAGAGGGGGGUGGAAUUCCACGUGUAGCAGUGAAAUGCGUAGAGAUGUGGAGGAACACCGAUGGCGAAGGCAGCCCCCUGGGCCAACACUGACGCUCAGGCACGAAAGCGUGGGGAGCAAACAGG
rnacentral:rRNA from 1 species